GGGGAAGGUUGCUUCGGUAACUGACCUAGCGGCGGACGGGUGAGUAAUACUUAGGAAUCUGCCUAUUAAUGGGGGACAACAUCUCGAAAGGGAUGCUAAUACCGCAUACGCCCUACGGGGGAAAGCAGGGGAUCACUUGUGACCUUGCGUUAAUAGAUGAGCCUAAGUCGGAUUAGCUAGUUGGUGGGGUAAAGGCCUACCAAGGCGACGAUCUGUAGCGGGUCUGAGAGGAUGAUCCGCCACACUGGGACUGAGACACGGCCCAGACUCCUACGGGAGGCAGAGUGGGGAAUAUUGGACAAUGGGGGGAACCCUGAUCCAGCCAUGCCGCGUGUGUGAAGAAGGCCUUAUGGUUGCAAAGCACUUUAAGCGAGGAGGAGGCUCUUUUGGUUAAUACCCAAGAUGAGUGGACGUUACUCGCAGAAUAAGCACCGGCUAACUCUGUGCCAGCAGCCGCGGUAAUACAGAGGGUGCGAGCGUUAAUCGGAUUUACUGGGCGCAAAGCGUGCGUAGGCGGCUUUUUAAGUCGGAUGUGAAAUCCCCCAGCUUAACUUGGGAAUUGCAUUCGAUACUGGGAAGCUAGAGUAUGGGAGAGGAUGGUAGAAUUCCAGGUGUAUCGGUGAAAUGCCUACAGAAUCUGGAUGAAUACUGAUGGCCAAUGCAGCCAUCUGGACUAAUACUGACACUGAGGUACAAAACGCAUGGGAGGCAACAGGUAUAGAUACCCUGGUAGUACAUGCAGUAGACGAUGUCUACUACCCGUUGAGGUCUUUGACACUUUACUGACGCAUCUUACGCGAUAAGUAUACCGCUUGCGGAGUACGGUCGCAUGACUAAAUCUCAUAUGAAUUGACGGG
rnacentral:rRNA from 1 species